rnacentral:rRNA from 1 species
GACGAACGCUGGCGGCGUGCUUAACACAUGCAAGUCGAACGAAGAGCGAUGGAAGCUUGCUUCUAUCAAUCUUAGUGGCGAACGGGUGAGUAACGCGUAAUCAACCUGCCCUUCAGGGGGGGACAACAGUUGGAAACGACUGCUAAUACCGCAUACGAUCUAAUCUCGGCAUCGAGGAUAGAUGAAAGGUGGCCUCUACAUGUAAGCUAUCACUGAAGGAGGGGAUUGCGUCUGAUUAGCUAGUUGGAGGGGUAACGGCCCACCAAGGCGAUGAUCAGUAGCCGGUCUGAGAGGAUGAACGGCCACAUUGGGACUGAGACACGGCCCAGACUCCUACGGGAGGCAGCAGUGGGGAAUCUUCCGCAAUGGACGAAAGUCUGACGGAGCAACGCCGCGUGAGUGAUGACGGCCUUCGGGUUGUAAAGCUCUGUUAAUCGGGACGAAAGGCCUUCUUGCGAACAGUUAGAAGGAUUGACGGUACCGGAAUAGAAAGCCACGGCUAACUACGUG